AAGUCUGCGUGGCGUGAACGCACCCCUAGUGAUAGUGGCUGCGAGACGUGGUGACGUCUUUUCCGGCCAUUUUACGUAUCGGCGCACUAGAACGCAUGCACCUAACGUGGCAGAAUUCUAUCAGUUCCGUUAUUUGCAGCUUUUUUCUUUAUAUUCCCGUAACCCACUAUUUGCCUGGAGGAACGCUGUACCGGCACAAUGUUGCUCCUUUGGAUUGUUGUAGGCUGGAUGAGUCUCUGCAGUGGAAACAAAAUCUUGGGGAAUGUUGGUGAAACCAUUUUACUGACCUGUUUCUAUGAAGGAAAUGAAAAACCACCCCUGGAAAACGUCCAUAUUGCUUGGUAUGACUCAUCAGACAAUCUUGUGCGUGAGUUUAAAAGUGGGGAAGAUGAAGUCAAGGAAAGAACAAGGAUCCUUAAAGAUGAAGUUAAAAAAGGCAACUUUUCACUAGAGCUGAACAACAUUAAACAAAGUGAUGCGGGAACUUACGAUUGCAAGGCUGCUGUAAACAACCGUGGGUUGAACCAUAUCACUGAAGUCGAUCUUACGGUUUCAGAAGAGAAAGGUAAAAAAUCUGAUGAUCGAACUGAAACAAACAAGACCGGAAAUGGCAGCAUUACAAAUAAACCAGAAAUUCUUCAUCUUGGAAUAUAUCUUCUCGGAAGCAUGAUACACAAUUACAUUUAAUAAAAAGAAAAAAGUCUGCAGAUGGAACAGAAACAAACAAGAAUGGAAAUGGCAGCAUUUCAUUUCAUUUAUUUAAAACCUGUCAAACCCUUUUAUUAAUUCCAAAUUAACAUCACUUAGCAAUAUGGGGGCAUGAGCUUGAAGAUGCAGCUAGUAAACAGUCAUUGUUUUAAAUAUUGGUCAUUGCUUUGUUUCUGUUAAGCUUAUAAAUAAAUAUUGAUAUUUUUAUAUUUUUUAAAUGCUUCUAUUUUUUAUAUCUGUCAGAAUUUUGCUUUGCUUUAACAUUAAAAAUGAAAGCAGUUUUUAAUAAACAAAUUGUCUUUUUUUUCUUGUCAGCAAUUUGAUUUUUGGUGAAAAACUGCUUGACAAUUUAUCAGAGCUAUUCUGGCUGUGGCAUGUAUGCUGUCGGAGAAAAUACAGAACACACCUUUUGCCCAUAAACCACAUGUUCCAUUUUGUUUUUUGAAGUAGGAACUGCAUGCGUUAAACCCCUUCUCAGGCCCUGCUCAGGUUUUUUAUUUUAAUUAAAGGGUGUCAAUUAAUCUACUGUCAAUUUCUCUGUUUGAAAGUUGUGUACUGGUCAUAAGCCUCUAUUUAGAUAUUAUUGAAUUCAAAACUGUCCAGCCAAUCAGGAACAGUCUUUCAUUUUCUCAAUGUCCUUUUCCAGUCAGUGUGCUACAGUAUGUCUAGUCCUGUACUUUAUAUUUAAAAUGAUGGAAGUAUUUAGCAACUCAAGUGUAUACUCCAUUUUUGUUUCUGUUCAGAAAAAUAAAAAGCAUUCAAUAUUUAGUGCCUGAAAUUCAUAACAGCUGUACAAAUGAUGACUGGUAAAAAAGCAAGCUUGUGUACACAUUUAAAUGGCUAGUGUUAGCUACUACUGUAUAAAAAACGGUCCAUCAAUAAAUAGCUUGAAAUGCUGA